ensembl:lncRNA
GAUGCAUAUAAAGUCCCAGGCACUCAGCAGGCAGGCACAACACAUCUGUCAAAUGAGGGCUAUUAUGAUGUGUCCAAAAGCUCUCUCCUCUGUGUUGACCAUAUAGAGUGGAGGCCACGGAGGCUGAGAGAGAUGCCCGAGGUCCCAGACGGUGGCUGCACCCCUCUGCCUGAUCCCAGCGCCCCUUCUUCUCCUCUGCGAAGCCCCUCUGAAAGCAAAGCCCUGAGGCAGCACCAGUCAAGCCUUCUCCCGCGCGACGUGGGGUUUUUCUACAAGUGCUCCUGAGUCUCAGUGAGACCAACAGGAAUGCCUUAAUUGAAAGAAAGGGCAUUUGGUGAAGGGAAGGAGGCAAAGGAGAUUAAAGGGACAAGGAUAGGAGUUGGCGGGGAAGAGAAAGAAAGAAAAGGAGAAUGAAGAGGAGCCAGAGGAGGAGGAGGAAGAGAAAGAUGGAAGGAAAACCUGAGAAAGUGCACGCACUCCUCAGGUCCUGGGUCCAGAUGUCUGGGACUCUCCGAUCACCUAUAAGCUUGAGCUUCCAUGUCUGACUGAUUGUCUGAUCGACAUGGUGUUUUUUGCACCACAUCUAUUGUUGUGAACACAGCAUGCAAAUGUGCCACGUCUGCUUUAAGGCACCCACAUUCCUAAGUCCUGGGGCCCAGGGUUCCCCAAGCUCCUUGAGGAUAAAAAUCGCCUGAGGUCCAGCUAAACAUUCAGCAGUCUGAUACCUAUUACAGGAACCGUGGGCGAUGCUUAUCUUCAGGGAAGUCUGGAAAACGGGGGUGGGGAGAAAUAAGGAAAACUUGUUGAGCUGAUCCAGAAGGUAAAAGAAACACCAGGAUGGGAAAGGAUGGUUUUUGCUGUUAUUCAGUCACUAUGUCAUGUCCAGCUCUCUGCAAUCCCAUGGACUACAGCAUGCCAGGCUCUUCUGUCCUUCACUCUCUCCCUGAGUUUGCUCAAACUCAUGUCCAUUGAGUUGAUAAGGCUAUCUAGCCAUCUCAUUCCCUGCCACCCCUUUCCCUUUUGCCUUUAAUCUUUGCUAGCAUCAGGGUCUUUUCCAAUGAGUCUCCAAUGAACCAAAGUAUUAGAGCUUCAGCUUCAGCAUCAGUCCUUCCAAUGAAUAUUCAGGGUUGGUUUCCUUUAGGAUUGACUGGUUGGAUCUCCUUGCUGUCCAAGGGACUCUGAAGAGUCUUCUCCAGCACCACAGUUUGAAAGGAUCGAUUCUUCGGUGCUCAGCCUUCCUUAUGGUCCAAACACCCGAAACUUUAGGAGAGGGGAGUUCAAGGAGACCUGGAGUCUGUUCAGCAGCCAGGUGCCAGCCAGGGCUCCAUCCCUGGGGUCAGAAGCCCUACAUAGGCUGAGUCAGUUCUGCUGAAGGCAGACUCCUAAGGCUGAAUGAAGCAUAUUUCCUGUGAUGAAGAAAUAGACACAGGAAGGCUUUGUGUCCUGGAAGCCCACGGGAUCCUGCUCGAUAUCAACAGUAAGUUUUCAAUUAGCCUGUAUUGCAUGAAUGAAUGAAUGCAACAUGUCUGGGUAUAUAAAAUUCUGUGCACUGAAGACCUAAAACAGGACUUGGGAAACUUUAUACCAUGAAAAGCCAGAUAAGAA